GUGUUGUAUGAAAGGAGAGGUUAGUACUUCCCUUGACGAGGAGGGAAGAGGCCCUCAGACCUGACAACACACAUAGGGUGAAGGCAUGUCACCUACCUUGUGGCAUCUAGCCACUGUUUUUG
ensembl:snRNA